UUUUUUAAUUGAAGACUGGAAUGAAAGAUAGAAUCUGAGAGGAGAUGUUUUAUUAAAUAAUUUUGAAAUUUAGUUAAAAGUAAAAAUGCUUUUGUAAAAUUUUGGGACGAGAAGACCCUAGAAGCUUGAUAGAUAAUAUUUAUUUUAUUGGGGUAAUAUUUGAAGAAACAAUUUUUAAAUAAGGAAGAGGUAUUUUAAUAAGUUACUCUAGGGAUAACAGCGUAAUCUAAUUAGAGAGUUCUUAUUAAUAAUUAGGGUUGCGACCUCGAUGUUGAAUUAAAGUGAAUUUUUGAUGAAGGAGUUGAAUGAUUU
rnacentral:rRNA from 1 species